rnacentral:rRNA from 1 species
GCGUCUGUGUGCUCUGCCGGCGUUCAGAAGGGCCCACGUGCGUUAUCAAAGGCGAUGAAGGAGAGACGAAGAAAGGAAACAGAGACCAAGAGGCUCCUUACUAUGGUGCCACACCAGCGCGGCCACCAUGAGAAGGAAGAUGAGCAGAGGCAGGAGGGGGAGGAGGAGAGAAGGAAGAUGAGCAGAUGCCGCUAGAUCAGUCGCGUGUGGAGAGAAGAAGAAAAAACAGGUAAGAGACACCGGAGGUGCAACGUCUCAACUCAGGCAAGUCGAGUCGUCUCCACCCCUCAACGGCGAGCCACAAGAAGUCCUGCUACGAGAAGAGGUCGAGCGCGAGAGCUAGGUGGGUUCGGUCUUGGCCUAGAAAAGAAGUGAUCAAGUGGAACCCAAUGACAACGUUUCCUGAGACGGUUAACCUAAACUUCCUCGACAAUAAGUUCUUAAAGUUCGGUUCCUGUUACGAUAUCAGCAGACAUCUAGUCUCACGUUUCUGUUUUUUCUUCCCAGCUCCAUACCUCCAGCGGCGACCCCGCUACUAGGGACACGAGGCAUUCGAGCCACUCGACGAGCGACCUCUUAUGUUGGAUCUCUUUGCUCAUUUCUUUCCACAUGCUAGCGAGGAAUGUCUCGACCUCUACUACGUACGGCACGAGGCAUUCCAACCGCUCCACGGUGGCCUGGUUGAGCUCCUCGGCCAGGCAUAAACCCGGCCGUUCCAAUCUCUGCAGAGAACGCUGUACCUUCUGCAACAACUGCUGAAGGACCACACACACCUACUCCCAAGUUCAUCGUUCGGUUACUUGUACUCCUUAGUUCAGUUCUUCAAGGAGUUUUUCUGGUGGUUUGACAUACCAUUCCCGUUUCGUGAAGUAGUUUAGACACUACGGUAACUUCUUCGAGUCCUAGAACGGUUCCUCAACCGCCUGGACGCAUUUUCCAUGCUCGAACUGCAAGUAUCGUGAUCGUUAGUACGAUGGUAACUGGGAGCCCACAAUCGAGAUGUGUUUUUACAUCUCCUCGAACAACCCCAACUGGCGUGUUCCCUACUCGAAUAGUUUUGUGACUAAACACUCCUGCCCUCAAGAUUCCUGGUUAACUUCUGUUAGAGAUAACAACCACAACCACCCGACCCGUUCUGAUGUGAGUGGUUUCGUUAAAUACUCUUCUAGUUUCGGGUCAAACUUACACGCCGAAAACAGGGGCAUCCAGUCUUGCGUCUAUAGUUCUUUCAAAAGUUCCUGAAUGAGAUACCUGAACUGUUUCUUUUCAAGUUACUGUAAGUAUUAUGUCGUUUCCUACUUUUAGAUGAGUAGUUCCUUUAGUUACUUAAGGAAUACCUAUUCUCCAUGGAGUAACAUUAACUACUAUAUACCCCUUUUCUGUAUACCUUUAUAUAUCUAACACGAAACAUAUUUUUGUUUGAGGUAUCAGCCCAUUAGUGUUGAUGGGCGUUACACUCAAACAGACUUCGUACAGAGAGAAGGUCACUACUGUACUAAGUAUCUUACUUUGGAGAAAGACUACUUCUGAGCGCUUAUGAGAAGGUAUCUUCUUAUAAAGUUUCGCUCCUGUUUACAGGUUUUCAACGUCCAUCAUAGUUCUCUCUAGAACUUCUUUACACCACCACAUGGUAAUCGGUAGUAAUGUUAUCGAUCGGAUGAACGAUCAUUAGUUGCCCAUUUCGUUUUUAUACUCACCUACGUAAACGUGUUAAGCUAACCGGCACCUCAAUGUGUUCCACUAUAACACUUCCUCUACUUGUCCUAUAAUAGUGAGUCGAUAAUACUAAACGGUAGAGUAGACUUCGGAACAAAUAAUAUAGAUUCGUAGAAAGGACUUCUGAAACUCUAAUUAUCUCUAACCGACUAUACCUCCACCGAACGACUUCCCAAAUAGGUUACACUGUUUCUUCUUUGGUCCGACAAACUCUAGCCUCUCUCGAUGAAGUUACUCGAGUACUUGUCCUCGAACUAGGUCGGUCGCCUUUAGUUACUACUUCCUUGCCAUCAUUGAACGGCAUAUGUACUAUACCACGAAGUGGAAUAUACGAGUGACAGUUCACGCCUUUUAAAAUAGAGGUAUAACUUAUUACGACUCACCGUACGUGGAUUAGACGUUUCCUUCAAAGCGCCUAAUAGUGAAGUAUUAUAGUUCCGUUUCCAAGUCUUGGUAGUCAAACUAUCGUGAUCGGACAGUUUUCACUGCUGGAAACGACAAAAAAGAGGGCAACGAACACUAACCAACGGUAGAGAGAGUUCGAAGGUUAAAAAUGCACACGACCUAGAACCUUUAACACCGUCGGCACUUUCAUCGAGACCAGAGUUGGAGUUCAUACAACCCUUAAACUAAGUGGAUUCCAUGAAUCCCGAGUUCCCACGUCUACAAGUGCUUGAGGGUCACCUGUAUUCGUUCGACGUCGAAAACGUCUAUGACCUGUAUGUUCCUUGAUCUUAUUUACUCAAUGGACGUUCAUAACAAGUUGAUUCUUUAAACUAUACGGAUAGACAGCUAUCACCGAACUCCGACGGUUUUCCUUACCCCUUGAACUACAGGGAACUUCACGACCUUGCUCAUCCGAAUAGGAGUAGAGGAGUGUAACACCUUCUCAACUCCGUAGACUGUCUCCAAUACUGUGAGUCAUAAUUGACACUAUUGUACCUGCUCCUAGACUAACUAUAUAAUUAGUUCAGAGAUCCGUUUGACGUGUUUAACGUUUUAGACGUAUAACUACUACCACCGUCUAACUAUCUAACGUACACACUUUCAACCCACGGGGGAGGUUUGGAAGCAUCAAAACUAAGUACCCUGGGGAAGAAAAAGAAAAGCAGCAAUACGUCUGAAGGUUUCACCCAGUUAAGUUCCAGCGAAGGGGUGGAGAGGUCGGACCGGUAUCUACACCUUCUUGACGUUCCCCUACUGCAAGUCUAGUAACCCUACGACGGACGAGAAGCCAGAGACGCUGAACGACGUUUUGCUCACUACCCUUGCAACCAACACUCCCGGCUACGUAAGGUUAGACGCUCUACGACGUUCAAGAUGCCCAAAGACUGAACCGGUACGGAAAAAGGUGGACCUCGAUACGGUUCCCAAGUUGUGGAACUCAAGACCCAUAGAAUAACCAGCUAGCGCUAACCACUCCAACUGACACCGUACUUGGUGGAGGGAAGAGAGCUCGUACAGUUCCAAUGAGACGUCGCACUAUCCAAGUGGCAAUUGCCCCAGCUACUUCUCCACCUAUAUCGGUUCCGAAACGACUCCGCGCGUUGUCUUCGGGUAGGUUUUGCAGGGUGGUAACUUUAGAUAAGCUGUAUUCACGAGUGUAAGGAACGGCGGCCGGAACUUAUUUUAGAACCCUCGGUUUAUGAUCAUUAAGCUAGUCAACGGAAAGCUAUCCGUUGUUUGUUAAGUAACGCGGCACCGUCCGUGGUCGUAGAGCAAACUAACCACAUGGCGACGUCGAGGGCUAUUCGUUCCUAGUAAGAGAGGUUGCAUACAAGUCCGAGACAGAAGGCGCACAACAAGAACAAGUCCUACUUGAUAAAAUAAAAAAGACGCAUACGAAAGUCUUUACGUCGUGGAGUAAAGGAAGUAAGUCAGUUCUGAGCCGUGUUACAUUCCAACGUAAGUCAACCGUGAAUAAGUCACAACAAAACAUUGUCAUGAUGGAGAUGCAAACGUCGAAUAAGUGUAUGUCACAACAAAACAAAAAUAGCAGAAUAUCGCUUCUCAAUUAACUUGAGCCGAACAACCGAAGAGAACAGUGAAUAAGUCAGUUCUGAGCAUGUUAUUUUUCGUCAAC